GGGAGCAUAGCUCAGGUGGUAGAGCGAUCGCUUAGCAUGCGAGAGGUACGGGGAUCCAUACCCCGCGCCUCCA